UACGUAGGGUGCAAGCGUUGUCCGGAAUUAUUGGGCGUAAAGAGCUCGUAGGCGGUUUGUCGCGUCGGCUGUGAAAACCCGGGGCUCAACUCCGGGCUUGCAUUCGAUACGGGCAGGCUAGAGUUCGGUAGGGGAGUCUGGAAUUCCUGGUGUAGCGGUGAAAUGACGCAGAUAUCAGGAGGAACACCGGUGGCGAAGGCGGGACUCUGGGCCGAUACUGACGCUGAGGAGCGAAAGCGUGGGGAGCGAACAGG
rnacentral:rRNA from 1 species